UACGUAGGGAGCAAGCGUUAUCCGGAUUUACUGGGUGUAAAGGGCGCGCAGGCGGGUCGGUAAGUUGGAAGUGAAAUCUAUGGGCUUAACCCAUAAACUGCUUUCAAAACUGCUGGUCUUGAGUGAUGGAGAGGCAGGCGGAAUUCCGUGUGUAGCGGUGAAAUGCGUAGAUAUACGGAGGAACACCAGUGGCGAAGGCGGCCUGCUGGACAUUAACUGACGCUGAGGCGCGAAAGCGUGGGGAGCAAACAGG
rnacentral:rRNA from 1 species